ACACUAAACAAUAGGGUGAUGGGCGCAGUGGCAGUGCACCACAGAUCUUUGCGAUUUAAAGCUCUGAUUGGCACUGCAACUGCCAUGGACAGGCGUAUCGCUUACCACCGACUCGGUGUCGUCAAUUUUGAUUUCAGACAGAAAGACAG